UUUUAAGUGGUGCUGCAAAUUUAAGGUUGAGACAAUAUUGGACAACAUAUACGUAUAAACGCUAAAGGUACAGAUACUUAUUUUGGAGAGCCGCCACCUUAGGAUUCUACUCAACGGGUUGAAGUGCUCCAUUGUCUCGGAGCCUAAACUUUUGGUACUAAUCCUUAUAAUGUAUAUAUUUGUGUAUUUUGGGGGUACGGCGGGGCCCUGUCUUGUCAUAUGCUAUUGUUAAUCCUCUUAGAGGUCUGUAGAUACAUGAGUGGGUUGUAUGUAGAUGUUGUCUGGUGUACUAGUAUGACAUAUGUUUUUGGACAUUUACAUUCGGAGUGAAAGCCUUGUCGGCUUACGUAUUAUGUUAUCUUAUUUUUGACA